rnacentral:rRNA from 1 species
UACGGAGGGUGCAAGCGUUAUCCGGAUUCACUGGGCUUAAAGGGUGCGUAGGAGGGCAGGUAAGUCAGUGGUGAAAUCUCCAAGCUUAACUUGGAAACUGCCGUUGAUACUAUCUGUCUUGAAUAUUGUGGAGGUGAGCGGAAUAUGUCAUGUAGCGGUGAAAUGCUUAGAUAUGACAUAGAACACCAAUUGCGAAGGCAGCUCGCUACACAUAUAUUGACGCUGAGGCACGAAAGCGUGGGGAGCAAACAGG